rnacentral:rRNA from 1 species
GACGAACGCUGGCGGCGUGCUUAACACAUGCAAGUCGAACGGUGAAGGUGGAGCUUGCUCCGCCGGAUCAGUGGCGAACGGGUGAGUAACACGUGGGCAACCUGCCCCUCACUUCGGGAUAACUCCGGGAAACCGGGGUUAAUACCGGAUAUGACCUCCUUGGGCAUCCUUGGAGGUGGAAAGUUUUUCGGUGAGGGAUGGGCCCGCGGCCUAUCAGCUUGUUGGUGAGGUAGUGGCUCACCAAGGCGACGACGGGUAGCCGGCCUGAGAGGGCGACCGGCCACACUGGGACUGAGACACGGCCCAGACUCCUACGGGAGGCAGCAGUGGGGAAUAUUGCGCAAUGGGCGAAAGCCUGACGCAGCAACGCCGCGUGCGGGAUGAAGGCCUUCGGGUUGUAAACCGCUUUCAGCAGGGAAGAAGCCGCAAGGUGACGGUACCUGCAGAAGAAGCACCGGCUAACUACGUGCCAGCCGCCGCCGUAA